UGCAGGGAAAGGACUUGCAG
rnacentral:snRNA from 1 species